rnacentral:rRNA from 1 species
AGAGUUUGAUCCUGGCUCAGGACGAACGCUGGCGGCGUGCCUAACACAUGCAAGUCGAACGAAGCACUUCUGAAUGGAGAUUCGUCAAAGUUCAGAUUUGACUUAGUGGCGGACGGGUGAGUAAUGCAUGAGCAACCUGCCCUGCAGUGGGGGACAACAGUUGGAAACGACUGCUAAUACCGCAUGAUGUAUCUGGAAGGCAUCUUCCGGAUACCAAAGAUUUAUCGCUGUGGGAUGGGCUCAUGUCUGAUUAGUUAGUUGGUGGGGUAACGGCCUACCAAGACUGCGAUCAGUAGCCGGACUGAGAGGUUGAACGGCCACAUUGGGACUGAGAUACGGCCCAGACUCCUACGGGAGGCAGCAGUGGGGAAUAUUGGGCAAUGGGCGAAAGCCUGACCCAGCAACGCCGCGUGAAGGAAGAAGGUCUUCGGAUUGUAAACUUCUUUUAUGAGGGACGAAGGAAGUGACGGUACCUCAUGAAUAAGCCACGGCUAACUACGUGCCAGCAGCCGCGGUAAUACGUAGGUGGCAAGCGUUGUCCGGAUUUACUGGGUGUAAAGGGCGCGUAGGCGGGAUGGCAAGUCAGAUGUGAAAUCCAUGGGCUCAACCCAUGAACUGCAUUUGAAACUGUCGUUCUUGAGUAUCGGAGAGGCAAGCGGAAUUCCUAGUGUAGCGGUGAAAUGCGUAGAUAUUAGGAGGAACACCAGUGGCGAAGGCGGCUUGCUGGACGACAACUGACGCUGAGGCGCGAAAGCGUGGGGAGCAAACAGGAUUAGAUACCCUGGUAGUCCACGCUGUAAACGAUGAAUACUAGGUGUGCGGGGACUGACCCCCUGCGUGCCGCAGUUAACACAAUAAGUAUUCCACCUGGGGAGUACGAUCGCAAGGUUGAAACUCAAAGGAAUUGACGGGGGCCCGCACAAGCGGUGGAUUAUGUGGUUUAAUUCGAAGCAACGCGAAGAACCUUACCAGGGCUUGACAUCCUACUAACGAGAUAGAGAUAUGUUAGGUGCCCUUCGGGGAAAGUAGAGACAGGUGGUGCAUGGUUGUCGUCAGCUCGUGUCGUGAGAUGUUGGGUUAAGU